CCUACGGGGGGCAGCAGUGGGGAAUAUUGCGCAAUGGGCGAAAGCCUGACGCAGCGACGCAGCGUGAGGGAUGAAGGUCUUCGGAUCGUAAACCUCUGUCAGCAGGGAAGAACGGUCACUGUGGUAAUCAGCAGUGAAUUGACGGUACCUGCAAAGGAAGCACCGGCUAACUCCGUGCCAGCAGCCGCGGUAAUACGGAGGGUGCGAGCGUUAAUCGGAAUUACUGGGCGUAAAGCGCUCGUAGGCGGUAUGUCAAGUCAAGGGUGAAAUCCCCGCGCUCAACGUGGGAACCGCCUUUGAAACUGGCAAACUGGAGUGUGUGAGAGGUUAGUGGAAUUCCAGGUGUAGGGGUGAAAUGCGUAGAUAUCUGGAGGAACAUCAGUGGCGAAGGCGGCUAUCUGGCACUCAACUGACGCUGAGGAGCGAAAGCGUGGGUAGCAAACAGGAUUAGAUACCCGUGUAGUC
rnacentral:rRNA from 1 species